UGCCUAAUACAUGCAAGUCGAACGAACUCUGGUAUUGAUUGGUGCUUGCAUCAUGAUUUACAUUUGAGUGAGUGGCGAACUGGUGAGUAACACGUGGGAAACCUGCCCAGAAGCGGGGGAUAACACCUGGAAACAGAUGCUAAUACCGCAUAACAACUUGGACCGCAUGGUCCGAGUUUGAAAGAUGGCUUCGGCUAUCACUUUUGGAUGGUCCCGCGGCGUAUUAGCUAGAUGGUGAGGUAACGGCUCACCAUGGCAAUGAUACGUAGCCGACCUGAGAGGGUAAUCGGCCACAUUGGGACUGAGACACGGCCCAAACUCCUACGGGAGGCAGCAGUAGGGAAUCUUCCACAAUGGACGAAAGUCUGAUGGAGCAACGCCGCGUGAGUGAAGAAGGGUUUCGGCUCGUAAAACUCUGUUGUUAAAGAAGAACAUAUCUGAGAGUAACUGUUCAGGUAUUGACGGUAUUUAACCAGAAAGCCACGGCUAACUACGUGCCAGCAGCCGCGGUAAUACGUAGGUGGCAAGCGUUGUCCGGAUUUAUUGGGCGUAAAGCGAGCGCAGGCGGUUUUUUAAGUCUGAUGUGAAAGCCUUCGGCUCAACCGAAGAAGUGCAUCGGAAACUGGGAAACUUGAGUGCAGAAGAGGACAGUGGAACUCCAUGUGUAGCGGUGAAAUGCGUAGAUAUAUGGAAGAACACCAGUGGCGAAGGCGGCUGUCUGGUCUGUAACUGACGCUGAGGCUCGAAAGUAUGGGUAGCAAACAGGAUUAGAUACCCUGGUAGUCCAUACCGUAAACGAUGAAUGCUAAGUGUUGGAGGGUUUCCGCCCUUCAGUGCUGCAGCUAACGCAUUAAGCAUUCCGCCUGGGGAGUACGGCCGCAAGGCUGAAACUCAAAGGAAUUGACGGGGGCCCGCACAAGCGGUGGAGCAUGUGGUUUAAUUGGAAGCUACGCGAAGAACCUUACCAGGUCUUGACAUACUAUGCAAAUCUAAGAGAUUAGACGUUCCCUUCGGGGACAUGGAUACAGGUGGUGCAUGGUUGUCGUCAGCUCGUGUCGUGAGAUGUUGGGUUAAGUCCCGCAACGAGCGCAACCCUUAUUAUCAGUUGCCAGCAUUAAGUUGGGCACUCUGGUGAGACUGCCGGUGACAAACCGGAGGAAGGUGGGGAUGACGUCAAAUCAUCAUGCCCCUUAUGACCUGGGCUACACACGUGCUACAAUGGAUGGUACAACGAGUUGCGAACUCGCGAGAGUAAGCUAAUCUCUUAAAGCCAUUCUCAGUUCGGAUUGUAGGCUGCAACUCGCCUACAUGAAGUCGGAAUCGCUAGUAAUCGCGGAUCAGCAUGCCGCGGUGAAUACGUUCCCGGGCCUUGUACACACCGCCCGUCACACCAUGAGAGUUUGUAACACCCAAAGUCGGUGGGGUAACCUUUUAGGAACCAGCCGCCU
rnacentral:rRNA from 1 species